rnacentral:rRNA from 1 species
GACGAACGCUGGCGGCGUGCUUAACACAUGCAAGUCGAACGGAAAGGCCCUGCUUUUGUGGGGUGCUCGAGUGGCGAACGGGUGAGUAACACGUGAGUAACCUGCCCUUGACUUUGGGAUAACUUCAGGAAACUGGGGCUAAUACCGGAUAGGAGCUCCUGCUGCAUGGUGUGGGUUGGAAAGUUUCGGCGGUUGGGGAUGGACUCGCGGCUUAUCAGCUUGUUGGUGGGGUAGUGGCUUACCAAGGCUUUGACGGGUAGCCGGCCUGAGAGGGUGACCGGCCACAUUGGGACUGAGAUACGGCCCAGAAUCCUACGGGAGGCAGCAGUGGGGAAUAUUGCACAAUGGGCGGAAGCCUGAUGCAGCAACGCCGCGUGCGGGAUGACGGCCUUCGGGUUGUAAACCGAUUUCGCCUGUGACGAAGCGUGAGUGACGGUAAUGGGUAAAGAAGCACCGGCUAACUACGUG